rnacentral:rRNA from 1 species
CCUACGGGGGGCAGCAGUGGGGAAUAUUGGACAAUGGGGGGAACCCUGAUCCAGCCAUGCCGCGUGUGUGAAGAAGGCCCUCGGGUUGUAAAGCACUUUCAGUGAGGAAGAACGCCUGGUGGUUAAUACCCAUCAGGAAAGACAUCACUCACAGAAGAAGCACCGGCUAACUCCGUGCCAGCAGCCGCGGUAAUACGGAGGGUGCGAGCGUUAAUCGGAAUUACUGGGCGUAAAGCGCGCGUAGGUGGCUUGAUAAGCCGGUUGUGAAAGCCCCGGGCUCAACCUGGGAACGGCAUCCGGAACUGUCAAGCUAGAGUGCAGGAGAGGAAGGUAGAAUUCCCGGUGUAGCGGUGAAAUGCGUAGAGAUCGGGAGGAAUACCAGUGGCGAAGGCGGCCUUCUGGAUUGACACUGACACUGAGGUGCGAAAGCGUGGGUAGCAAACAGGAUUAGAUACCCUAGUAGUC